CAUCGGCAUACAUAUCAGAAAAUUUGGAAAGACCAUGUCAGCAUUUAAAUCUCUUCUUAUGCUAAAAGACCAAGACAUUUGAUUACUAGAUCAUUGACUAAACGACAUGCACUCUCUAGAUCAUAUUAUGUAGAGAACUUCAUUGAUAGUCACACAGACAUGUUCAACCGAGAAGCCCUUGCAAAUUGAUGGUAAAAGCGAUUGUAACCAACCUAAGAAUGCAAUGAAAUCUUUAGCAAAAUUUGUCUUGUGAAAAGCUUUCCACGAAAAGAAGAGCAUUAGCAUUAUUUUUCUUGGCCUCCUCCGCAUAAAGUAAGGAGUGAAGAAAAAAAGGAAGAGGAAGGGCAGGAAUGAGGAAGAGAGAAAAGGGGGGUUGGCUUUUGAUUGAUGCUUUCUCUUGUCUAUAUAAAAAUUAUUAUUAUUGUUAUUAUUUGUCUCUGUUUUUGGUUUAAAAUAAAAUCUAUUUGAUUGUACAUUCAUGAUUGCAAAAUUUAUAAUUAUGGGAUUAGCAUAGGAAAUCAUCGCAUCAUAUAGUGGUUGUCAGAUAAGCAUUUCCUUUGUGUGUGCGUCUUUUUUUUUUUUUUUUUUCUUUCUUUUCCAGCUUUUCUAGCAUAACUACUUGAUGGAGACAUUAGCUUCUGUAUAUCUUUCAUAUCUAUAUAUUAUAUUAUUUUAUCUUUUAUUAAUACAUCAAUUUGUAUCAUUACAUCCACCAUAAAUUUAUAUGCAUGCUUACAGAUUGAUACUAAAAAAGAUACUCAACUAUACAGCAUCAUAAACUUAUGCUUCAAUUUAAUAAACAAUAAAGUAAGUUCCCUUUUCAUAAUCUUUAUUUUAAAAAAAAUAAAUAUUUCAUUAAUAAAAAAUA